AGGGUGUAAACGCUGCGGGCUUGGUGUUGGGGGUCCUUUGAGGGCGCCCAGUGCCGGAGAGAAGUUGUUAAGCCUGCUGCUUGGGGAGUACGUCCGCAAGGAUGAAACUUAAAGGAAUUGGCGGGGGAGCACCGCAACGGGAGGAGCGUGCGGUUCAAUUGGAUUCAACGCCGGACAACUCACCAGGAGCGACGGUUACAUGAAGGCCAGGCUGAUGACCUUGCCUGAAUCGCUGAGAGGUGGUGCAUGGCGUAGACGUCU
rnacentral:rRNA from 1 species